ACCCGCUGAACUUAAGCAUAUCAAUAAGCGGAGGAAAAGAAACCAACAGGGAUUGCCUUAGUAACGGCGAGUGAAGCGGCAACAGCUCAAAUUUGAAAUCUGGUCCCCUUUGGGGGCCCGAGUUGUAAUUUGAAGAGGAUGCUUUUGGCGAGGCGCCGUCCGAGUUCCCUGGAACGGGACGCCGCAGAGGGUGAGAGCCCCGUACGGUCGGACGCCGAGCCUCUGUAAAGCUCCUUCGACGAGUCGAGUAGUUUGGGAAUGCUGCUCAAAAUGGGAGGUAAACCCCUUCUAAAGCUAAAUACUGGCCAGAGACCGAUAGCGCACAAGUAGAGUGAUCGAAAGAUGAAAAGCACUUUGAAAAGAGAGUUAAAAAGCACGUGAAAUUGUUAAAAGGGAAGCGCUUGCGACCAGACUUGCGCCCGUCGGAUCAACCGUCGCUUGCGGCGGCGCACUCCGGCGGGCUCAGGCCAGCAUCAGUUCGUCCGGGGGGAGAAAGGCGGCGGGAAUGUGGCUCUUCGGAGUGUUAUAGCCCGCCGUGUAAUACCCUCGGGUGGACUGAGGACCGCGCGUAUGCAAGGAUGCUGGCGUAAUGGUCGUCAGCGACCCGUCUUGAAACACGGACCAAGGAGUCGUCCUAAUAUGCGAGUGUACGGGUGUCAAACCCCUGCGCGUAAUGAAAGUGAACGGAGGUGAGAGCUUCGGCGCAUCAUCGACCGAUCCUGAUGUUCUCGGAUGGAUUUGAGUAAGAGCAUAUUGGGCCGGACCCGAAAGAAGGUGAACUAUGCCUGUGUAGGGUAAAGCCAGAGGAAACUCUGGUGGAGGCUCGCAGCGGUUCUGACGUGCAAAUCGAUCGUCAAACAUGGGCAUGGGGGCGAAAGACUAAUCGAACCUUCUAGUAGCUGGUUUCCGCCGAGUUYCCCC
rnacentral:sRNA from 1 species